rnacentral:ncRNA from 2 species
GAAAACCCAUCAACCGCGGACGGAUUCAAGGGAAAGGGGUGAUCCGCUUCAGGCGGAAAUUCCCCUGCUGCCCCGCAACUGUGAAGGCUACGAAAGCCGCCAUACCAAGCCACUGUCAGCCUCAGGCUGAUGGGAAGGCGCGGCGAGUAGGACGAAGCCUAAGCCAGGAGACCUAUCCGCUCUGCCUCAACAAU